rnacentral:rRNA from 1 species
GACGAACGCUGGCGGCGUGCUUAACACAUGCAAGUCGAACGGUAAGGCCCUUCGGGGUACACGAGUGGCGAACGGGUGAGUAACACGUGGGUGAUCUGCCCUGCACUUCGGGAUAAGCCUGGGAAACUGGGUCUAAUACCGGAUAGGACCACUGCCUGCAUGGGUGGUGGUGGAAAGCUUUUGCGGUGUGGGGUGGGCCCGCGGCCUAUCAGCUUGUUGGUGGGGUGAUGGCCUACCCAGGCGACGACGGGUAGCCGGCCUGGGAGGGGGACCGGCCACACUGGGACUGAAGUACGGCCCAGCCUCCUACGGGAGGCAGCAGUGGGGAAUAUUGCACAAUGGGCGCAAGCCUGAUGCAGCGACGCCGCGUGAGGGAUGACGGCCUUCGGGUUGUAAACCUCUUUCAGCACCGACGAAGCGCAAGUGACGGUACCUGCAGAAAAAGCACCGGCUAACUACGUGCCAGCAGCCGCCGUAA